CCGCAGGAAGCCGCGCGGCCGCGGUGCGUAUUUAUGCUGAGCCCUGCCAGGAGCGGCCCGGCUGAGCGCGGGGUGGAAGCGCCCGGCACCCCUCCUUCCCGCCCGGGCGCAGGCGGCGAGAAUGAGCCAGAGAGACACCCUGGUGCAUCUGUUUGCCGGCGGAUGUGGAGGCACUGUUGGUGCAAUUCUGACAUGUCCACUGGAAGUUGUGAAAACACGAUUGCAGUCCUCCUCUGUGACUCUUUACAUCUCUGAAGUCCAUCUCAACACUGUGAAUGGUGCUAGCGUCAAUCGAGUAACUAGAGUUUCUCCUGGACCUCUCCAUUGUUUGAAGAUGAUCUUGCAAAAGGAAGGCCCUCGUUCUCUGUUCAGAGGGCUGGGUCCUAAUUUAGUAGGUGUUGCUCCUUCCAGAGCGAUAUAUUUUGCUGCUUACUCAAACUGCAAGGAAAAGUUGAACAAUAUUUUCAAUCCAGAUUCUACCCAGGUACACAUGAUUUCAGCUGGUGUGGCAGGUUUUACUGCGAUCACAACAACUAAUCCCAUUUGGCUAGUAAAGACACGAUUACAGCUUGAUGCAAGGAAUCGUGGAGAAAAGCGAAUGAGUGCUUUCGAAUGUGUCCGAAAAGUUUAUCGAUCAGAUGGUUUUAAAGGCUUUUACAGAGGAAUGUCAGCAUCCUACGCAGGCAUAUCUGAGACUGUUAUUCAUUUUGUUAUUUAUGAGAGUAUUAAGAGAAAACUACUGGAGUAUAAGACUGCUUCUGCCAUGGGCAGUGAGGAUGAAUCAGCAAAAGAAGCUUCGGACUUUGUUGGAAUGAUGAUGGCUGCUGCCACUUCCAAAACUUGUGCAACGUCAAUAGCAUAUCCCCAUGAGGUUGUACGAACAAGACUAAGAGAAGAGGGAACAAAAUACAGAUCUUUCUUCCAGACACUAUCUUUGCUUGUGCGGGAAGAAGGGUAUGGAUCCCUCUACCGAGGUUUAACUACACAUCUGAUCAGACAGAUUCCAAACACGGCUAUCAUGAUGUCAACAUAUGAAGUGGUAGUCUACUUGCUCGAUGGAUAGCAGCGUAACAAGGCUUCCUACAAGAAAGUGAAAGAAUGAAAGACUGGAGUGGACCACUGAAUGUCAAUGCCAAUCUGGUGGGCAAAAGGAAAGUUAUAUCAGGAACAUGCAGCUAUGGACAAAACAGAAGGUUGAUUGUGGGCAACUAUGAAUAAUUUUGCUGCCUUAUUGUAUGGUCUCUUGGCAAUGUGACAAAUGGGAACUACCCCUUAGGGAAUACCUUUAUACAUCUCUUAAUUCAAAAUUGCUACUUUCUUUUCAUCUGUUAAUCUAGACAAGACCAUUCAGUCAUCUUCAGAGACCUAAUGGGUGAGGGAGGGUGGUAUAAAAUAUAUUCUUGGGCAGCCUUAUUCAUUUCCCUUAGUAAUUGCUCUCAACUACAUCCUUUUCGUUCUGUUUAAUGCACAGUAACCUGUUGGAAGAAUGGGGAAGACAUACUUUCAUACCUUUCCAUACCUGAAACUUCCAUUCAGUUGCUCUGAAGAUUCACAAAGAGACUGAGGUAGUAAUCAGUGCAUAAAGCUUUCCAUGUUGCUACCUCAAGACAAAAUAUGGCGCAGGGACCCAGAACAGAGUUAUUUCUUCACUACAAAAGGUGAUACUUGUGUUUUCUUUGAAGUUUGAGCAGUGUUAUAGGUUAGUGAGAGAGGAUCUGAUUGUUGAACUCAUCAGGUUAUCAAUCUAUUAAUAUUGGUGUAUGUGGAUUUCUAGUUCUGCUGCAUCAUCCUUUUUUCUUUCCUGGAGCUUUCCUUCCUUAGGCAGGAGAGACCUAUGAAACAUUCUCCUAUAUCAUCAGUUUUCCUUGUCAACCUGUCAGGUCACUCACACAGCUAAGGAAGAACUUGCUGAAUGUUACUUUGUGGCCUUUUUAAGGUUUCUUAAUGUGAUGAGAAAUCUAGACUAGGUCCAGCCUACCAUUUGUGAAGACAGGAUUCACCCACAUAGUUUCAUGCUACCUAAGAACAAGCUGUAUUACUCUAAAAUGUCUGGCAAAACCUGACUUGCAUUACCAGUAUCUGUAUGGGAGUACAGGGGUAGCCACAUCACCAUGGCUAAGGCAACCAGAAAGCAGCUGAAGUUGUGAUAAACCUUUUCAGUGCAGACAGUAUCUGUGCAGAACAAUGAAGAAAACUGAGAUUAUUUUCUUGUAAGCAUUCCCCUUGAUAAUUGCUGUAUCACUUCUUCCAACUUGAGCCUGUGUACAGAACCACAGCUGACAGUAUAACCUUGUCCUUCAAAUUGUCUGAAUAUUCAGGCAUUGUUUUUUGCUGUUCUAUAAGCCAGUUGCAAAACAGCGUUGUGUUCAGCAGUGAGGCUUAGCCAGUUUAUUCUGUCAUAAUUAACAGGGUUUUCCAAACCAUACAGUUGGAAUGUCAAAAUCAGAAAUUUAAUGUUACAAGAACUUGUACAGCUUUCCAAACAUAAAUCUUUUAUCUGCACCUUGAGUACUUCUCAGUCUGCAUCUAUGAUCCUUAUGAGGAAGAUGGUUGUUAUAAAUUUGGGGCAAUAGCUUUCUACAUAUAAAUGCUGCUACACUGGUGUGGACAGAACUGUGCUAUCAACUCUUCCAGUGUGGUACUUCAGUACACUUAAACUGUGCAUUGUGUGCAAUGGCUUUAUUUUAUGAAUGACUCCUUACGCACUUUGUGGCCUUCUUAUGGCUUGUGACUUUUCUUCCUCUUACUGGUUAUCUGUAGUCAAACUGUGUUCAGAACAUGCAGCUUGGUUUUAAACAAAGCAUGUGGUUUGAUUUCCGUGUAAGCUGUGCAGGAUAAAACAUUUUAUGCUGUAGAUCCAUAGCAUCUCUGUUGCAGUAGUUCUGUAAGCUGUAUGUAAAAGCUCAAAGCUUACAGAACAGUCAGUCUGGGUUUUUCUCAUUUGCUGUCCUUUAUUUUGACCCUUGUCAUGUUUUCCACAGUGUCAAAGUAUUUGAGUACUUCAUGUAAUUCUCCAUAUGAAUUGCUCAUCCUUCUAGAAGCCACCUAUAGUAUGUACAGCAACCUUGCAGUGGAGGCUUAGCUGUAUUGAUUUCCUUCUCCUUGGGAAAAUGUUAUCUUACCUUUUUAAAGACAGAUAGCAUGGUCUGAUGUGACCAAAGGUGAACUUGAUUGUUUUAGAGAAGUGAGGGGAGCGCUUAAAUGUGUGUUCUAAAGUGAGCUUUUUUUAGUAAUCUCUCUAAGAAAUGUCUGAAGUAUUCAUGACUCUGACCCAAGUCUAGCUGUGAUGCCAUUGUUUGGAUAACUAAGUGCAAGAAUAGCUACUUAGUGUAAUUCUUGUUCUGUAGAAAGUGGAUUACUUUUCAGGCUAUCCAGAUUAUUCAGUCAUAGCCAAAAUUUUAAAUUGGCAAAGACAAUAUUCAGCUUUGGAGUUCAUGAAUACAAUUAAUACUUGGAUUUGCCUAGGCUUCAUGAGUUAGUCUUCUCUGAUUAUUGUGUAAGUUCUCCCUUGGUUACAUAUUCAUCUCCUGUUAAUUCACUAGGUACCAUGUGUGUGCCUUCUCUGGGUGAGAACAGUCCUCCUGAAUUGAUAAAUAGAAAAUGUUAAUAAGGACAAUUGAAUAUGGGAGACAACAUUAAAAAUAGACAAUCAGCUUAUUAUUCCACCUUUUUAAUGGGUGUUUAAGCAAUGUUGUAAACUUCAGGGGUGAUCAUCUUGGCUUGCUUGCCAUAAAACAUAAACCCAAAGUUUCUUGCGAUUUUUUUUGUUAUUGUUAAACCACCAGUACAUAUAAAGUUACCUCUGAAAUAUUUCCCAAAGAUCUUUAAAUUAUUUAUAUAGUUUUCUUGAUAUUUAUUAUAAAAACUCAAAGGGAAUAAGAAGAUGGAUUCAGUAGUAUCCAUAACUACAGAACUGAAAAGAGUGCACUGAAACUUUCUUGUAACUUAGAUGGUUGUCUUGAUUUAUAUUUGAAUGUAGUGUAUUUGUCACACUUCUGUGCUAGAUGCAAAGGUCUUGGAUGUCAGAGAAGCUCUCAGUAAUGAAUUAGUUUUCUGCAUAUUUCCCCUACCUAGAUGAAACAUAAACGUUAGGCAACCCGUUAGAUUUGGAAACAGUGAGACUGCAGUUUCCUGGACCAGUCAAAAGAUGGCACUGGAGCAUGCAGUCCUCGGAGGGAAAGGGGCUCCUCUGCCAGGGCCGGACUAGCUCGGCUGUUACACAGCGCUGGUUGUCACCGAGUGGCUGUGGCAUGUUGGGGGGACGCGGCAGGGUGGCCCGAGUUUGCAAAACCAUAAAAAAAAGUUUCAGUGACUGCAGUCACAUUUGUUAUCCUUUUGGUCCCUGUAGAGCUGUGUGAAAACAGGAGAGUUGUGUGUUGCAGAGGGCUGAGCCCAGCCUUUAAACUGACUGAUGGAUCUGCUGUUUCUGUCUAAAUUUCUGAUCUGCUAGGCUAUGUUGUUUUAAGUAGGCUUACACUAGAGAUUUACAGAGUUUUGUUAUUUUAAUUGUAACUGAAACAUCAACCUGUCCACUUGUAUAUUGACAUUGUGCCAUCUCGUUUCCUGUUUACAUAAUGCACUCCAUAUAUUUCCUUUCUGAUUGAGAAGUUUGUUAAUGACAGUUUCUGCUAUUCUGUUUUUAUUCUUAGAAUGAAAUUUGUAACAUUCCUCAGACUGUAGCAUUUUAAAAGAAUGUUUUCAGAGACAAAAGAUUGGAGAGCCGUUAUAAAUGUUGCUUCCUGUUUAAACUGUUUAAAUUCGGAAAACAAGCUGAACACUGAAGUGUGCCUAGAUGUUCAUGUGAAUUGACCUACAUUGUUCUGCUUCUGAAACUUUCUAGCUUCCAGACCAGCCAGGCUUAGAGGUGAUCAGUCUUCUGGAAUCAGUACAGGCAACCAGUGUGCAUAUCCCUGACACAUCUGAAAAUGAAGUAAAUGCAGGAGAUCAAUCCAUACAUUUUUUGUGGAACUAUCUGAUGUGGAGCCACAAAGGAAAUCUCUAGAUUAUUCCAACAGGGGCCACGAGUGUCGCUUUCUCAGUUGGAAAGGAGAGAAGAAAAAGACUCCAGGUAUAGGAUAUGAUAAACUUCAACUAGUUGUAUGUGAAAACACCAACUAAAGGGGACUCCACAUAGAGAAAAUACUGUAUUGCAGUGGGAAAACACCAGCGCCUCGCUCAACUCUAUUCUGCCAGAGCUCUCUGCCAGCAUGUAUUAAGGUUGUGCUGAGUGCUUAAAGCUGGCACACAACAGAAGGAAACAAGUAGGGCCAGGGAGGAUAUGGCAAUCAGAAAUCUGCUAAUAUGAAUAUAAGGUAUAUAACAGGAUGAAAAGCUCAAGACUGUGUAAGAACACUUUGAAGGUGAAGGACAAUGACAGUAUCAUCUUACAGGCAAAAUUAUAUGCAGCACAGGUUGAUAUUAAGGAGAAUUUUUAUAGUCAGAAAACCUAGUAGAUUCUAGUAAGUCGAUGCAGUCUGCCUUUAUCUGCACUACUGUUGAUGCUGAAGAGAAAUAGACUUACAGUUCUGUCCUGUCUUUGGGCAGACACCGUAGCAAGAUGCCAACGAGGUAUAGAAUGAGAACAGCCCACCAGGAGCGUACGAAGAAGGCUGUGCGGCAGUGGCUGUGCUGGGCUGCUGCCUGCGACCAUCUGCUCAAAGUCUGUAGGACGAGGUCCUAAGUCUCUGACCUCCAUCAGAGCAGAAACCUAGUAGAGCUGGACAGACACCUCAGCUGACACUUACACGUUGCUCUAAGGGCUGGAAGGCCUCGUUGGGAGAACUGAGGAAGGAACAGUGGUGAACUUGGAAGUGUGUGAAUUCUUAAAGUGCAUCGCUCUGCCAAGAUGCUGGAGCUCAGACUGUUUGUAUCACUGCAGUGCAAGUACCUCCUUAUAUAUAGUCACACUUCAAUUUUCCCGUGAGGUUCUGUGAUUCCUGAACUGUACUAGGGCUUAGGUCAGUGCAUCUCCGCAGAGGACUGGAAACUUGACUUUACUUGACUCUGAGUACUUUGUGACAUUACUUACAUGAACUCAAUGCAAAGCAAAACACUAAAUCUACUUCUUGGAAUAAUUUUCACAUAUCUAGAACCAGAGCUUAAAUGAUUUUUUAGAUUAUUGAUUUAAUAGGUAUUGCUUAAUAUAUUUUAUUGUAGUAAUAAAAAUUUCUUCAAUUACCAAAUUAAUAUUUCCAAAGUAAAAUCUGGUGAGUCCUAAGUAAGAAGUGAAUUGCUGCCUACAGUCAAUAGUUUAAUAGUGGAAAAGCUAUUUAAUUUUAUUAUUAUUAUUCAAAUUUAUGUUCAGUUUUUCCUCAAUUAGCAUAUAAAUACUAUAAUUCACUUAUAUGAAAAAAGCCUUAUCCCGGAAUACCUCUAAUGAUUAUAGAUAUCUGGGUAAGGCAAAAUCUUGGCUAACACAGAGCAGUGAACACAAAUCAGGCAGAACAGGCUUAUGGUACAAUGAAAAUUGUUUUCUCCAACUUAGUGUCUGUACAAGAAUUUGUGGAGUCUUAUGCAGGGAUCAGAAUCUUUCUUUCUUUAGUAUGCUCAUGUAAAUGAGUAACCAUUUUCUUCUAUGUGUACAUAUUUCUAUGGAGCUGGUUUGCUCACUCGUUCUUUAACAGAAGUCUUUUUUUUUUUUUAAGGAUCAGUUCAAGCUCCUCUUUGGCAUCUUUGAAAAUUGCUACUGAAAGUAUGCUAUUCCUGUAGCCACCUUUCGCCCAGCGCAUGUAUAAAUUAGUAAUUCAGCUGAAGAAAAUAUGCUAAAUCAUUCUGCUCUCACUAGAGGGCCAGAGUAAGGAAGCAGAUUCAGCUGCAUGGAAGUUUAUAAAAUGAGCACUAUUUUAGAUCAAUGGAAGAGAAAGUGACAAAGCUAAUGAUUGAGUAAGAAAAAUCUGUUUUCAUCCUCAUUUUGUGUGUGCAGACUUAAGUGCUGACAUCUUCAGUUUUAACAGUAGAAGUAGGUAGCUUUCAGGCCAUUUAGUGGUUUUAGGUUAAAAUUAACACCCUAAUCUUUUUUCAUUCUUAACAGAUAGCCAGAGUAGACAAAUGUAUGCCAAUUACAUUUCCUCCCAGAAAAAUACUCAACCUAAGCAAUGACCUAUUGACACCACGUGUAACUUUUGACAAGAAGGUAUCAACACCUUUUGUAAAGUAUGUUGCAGUAAUCUAAUCCGAAAGCAAAUUCAGCCUAGAGCAUGUCAGGUGUUUUACUUUAGAGGGAUGAAUUUAAGCCUCAGAGUAGACUUGAAAGCCAACCUCAAACCCCUGCUGAAGAGAGGCAUGUGCCCAUUUUGAUUGCCAGAGGAGAUGCAAGCCACCUCAUUCCUUUGGAGAUUCUUGCCCCUGUGGGUGAAGGAUGUUUUCCCAAGGGCCUGCCCUUCUAGGCUCAGGUGGGCUCUUGCCCUUUGCGUCUGUGGGCGACACACACAUGAAUGACACUUCGCAUCCAAAAGGAACAACUGGAACUUGUAGCGUUCUGUGUGCUGGUUGUAUUGGCCAGUGCUUUCCUAACAGAUCCAAGGAACCAACCAAUUUCCAGAAGGUGCACCAGUCCUACAGGCAAGCUCUCCCAGUUACAAAUAAAAUACUCCCUCUGCCAUCUCUUCUGGCUGUUUCAUCAGUUACCAGCCUUGCUUUUGUUUGUCAAACUGACUCUCAGGCAAUAAGGGUGAGAAUCUACACCCUCACUUUCCUCCAAACACAGUUAAUUGGUUUGUUCCAAGACUCUCUUCCACUGUGGGAACUGAGAAGGGGGAUAUUAGUACUGAUUUCACUGGAGUAAUAUGAAAGUUCGUAAGUUAUUUUUCAAGUAGUAUGUAUGGCAGCUGCCAUUUAAACAGCUCUGAAUCUGACAGUAUCUGCUUUACAACUGCUGUUGCUAUGUCUGGUUUUAAAGGAAGAAUAAAUUUCAUAAACAACUGAGAACUAGAUGUUCAUUCAUGCACACAUAAAAAAAAUUACUGGUUAACCAUUCAGUGUACAGUGUUGCUGGGUCCUCACUGGCACCACUUUGAAGGUGUUUGAAUAUUUUGAACUGAGGUUUAUUCUUCUUCAGACGUAUUCUUAAUCAGCCAAAUGGUUCAGAACGUCCACUCUACCUGUUAAACCUACUUAAGCACCAGUUGUUUCAUCUUCUUGAAUCUUAUUAUUCAGGGGUUUAUAAUUAGUAACUCUUACAUUUCUGCAUAAAUUUUUAACAUGGGAUUGGACAAGGACAAUUACCUCAGCAAUCUAGUAGAGCAAAUACAUCUUUUUAACCUCUUUCUCAAACAAAACCAGGAAGAAAAGUCUUUGUGAUUCCAAUUUUCCAGCCCAGCACAAUCAUGUUUUGUCCUUGUCUCUCAACUGAAUUAACAGCAUUAUAUCCCUGCAUCCCAGAUACUUUUGCCAGGAAUUGUAGUUGGAUAUGCUCUAAGUUGCUUUGUUUGGUUUAUUGGGAGUUCAAGCAAACACAGCAUGCAGUCAUGUUAAUGCAGAAAUUUAAUGUGCUUAUGUCACUUCCCUGGUUGGUGUAUGUCUGGCAUACACCAUGAGGUUAGCAGUGAAUGUUUGUAUUGGAAAAGAGUAAAACAAAUGCUGUGUUUGAUCUGGCUGCUGGCAGAGUACCAAUGGGAAUCACUAUGGAUGUGUGAAGCAUGUACACGAGCUCGGCUGAGCUGCCGCUCUGGAGGGUGAAACUUCUGUUGCUCUGAAAGCUCUGAUACUGUUCAGCCAAAGUCAGACCAGGACACAUUCAGAUUUUCCUCACGCUUUUUAACCAACUGAAUUUGGAAGGAGAGCUAAUUAAAGAUGUACAAAGCUUCAGCCCUAUUUUUAUUAUAAAUGCACCUGUGACACAAUUUUUCAGGUGAAACCUACAAUGGAAAGGAAGGAAACAAGCAUUUCAAAUUAAGUAUCUCUGCACUCAGGAUGAAAAGCAGAUGAGAUCUCACCUAGGCAAAUUAACCUACCUACCCAUCUAUUGUGUGCUAAGAAAUUAUUUUUAGCAUGCCUGUGACACUUUUGAUAAUUAAUUUUCGAUGUAAUCAAAGGCUGUAUUUAACAAAACAGAGAUGAAACGGGGAGUUCAGCAUGAAAGAGAUGUCUAUGUAAUUGUCUUUAUCUUGCUCAUAUUAAUAACCUGGGAAAGCACUGCUAUAGAACCUAUAGUUCUGUUCUGAAAGCAGAGCAGAAAGAAUUACCUGUAUUGAGAGCUUGUUAAUAUCCAGUGUAAUACACUUUAAAAUUGCUCAUGAAGGAUCUGGUCCCAACAGGUGCUUAGUAGGCUGCAGAAUCAUAAAAAUAGUACGUAAAUGUGGCUACCUGCUUUCACAAGUAGCUUCUCCUCCUUUUCCAGACAGACAUCAUCUAAUAUUAAGAUAUCGUGGAAUUUCAUGAGUUGAGUCAGUUGCUUUGUGGCCUGUGCCUGUUGGGCAGGUCAGCCUGGACUGCCCCCAGAACUCGAAGGUUCUUUCCAUUGACUUGCAAGAGGAGGAGAGAAAAAAAAAAAUGGAACCGUUCAUCCCAUCCUCUUUCCAGACCUGAAAGAGGAAAAUGGAAGCUAGCUGAUGCUGUUACUCUGAAGAAGCUCUUGGGGAUAUUUCACUAGACGCAUCAGCUCGAUACGCUUUUUGUGAAAAAGCUAACUGCUUGUGACAAGAUCAUGUAUAUGUUUUGGCAGUAAAUUAAAAUUUGUUUGGCACCAAACAGGAAAAUUGGCAGAACUCAUCUCUUCAAGUUUAGAUACGACGCAGAGAAUGAGGUUGGAAUUAUACAGUUGAAAAUUAAAAAGCUAUUCCUUUAACUUCACUGGGAGUUCAUUUUUUUAUCUAGGUUCCUAAGUCCCCCAAGGACUUAGAACUCUGGCCAUCUCUCUUAGAAAUUUAGUGAGUUACACUCAAGUGAAAAAAUAGUAUGCUAUAAUAGAAGUAUUUGAAAACCUUAACAAGAGUCAGCUUUACCUGCUCCGCUCUUAAGAGCAGUAACAAAAUAGAUGGCAAUAGAAGAAAUGUGUUAAUGUAUGUUUAUAAGUCAUAUGCAUAAGACAAGGUUAUUGUGAUAAGUUGCACAUAGCUUUUUUUCCAGUGGGAUUUACUGACUGUGAAUAUAUAUGGCCAUGCUGGAAAGCACAGAUGAAAACUGUAGGAAUGUGAAUUAGUUCCUUCCUCAGUUAAAAUGUGCAAAAACUUAAGGUGUCAGAGACUUGUAAAAAACCAAUAGUUUAUAGGAAGCUUUUUUCCUACUUUUUUUACCAUGUCUCUAAUUUUGUUAAAAUGUUUUAAAGAAACAUUGCAGGAAAUAGUUUCUAGUGUUGGAAAACAAAUGUUUAGCUUUUCUAAGAAUUGUACAUUAAAAUAUUGCAAAGUCAUCUGCAAUAAUGUUACUUUGAUUGGAAACAGAUUUCAGGUGUUUACCUCUUGCAUUAGUCAUAUGCAUAAACUUGAUUUUUAGUGAUGAUCAAGUAAAUAUAAAUCAAGACCAAUGGAUGAGUGACACCCUCAAAGUUGAUUUCAGAAGGCUCUCUACAGCUUUUAAUAACUUGGACAAAAAGUAUGUGCUACUGGGUAUGAUCUGGUCUCCUGAUACUUUUGCUAUUUACCGAGUAGUGGAGAAGUUGUAAUAAACAGUAACAAACAGUGGUAUGAUUUGCGAGGCUCAUCAGUACUUUUAAAGUUUGUUACUAACAAAACUUUGCUCGAGUGCAAGAAGAAGUCUUUAUUGUAUCUUGAAUGUGGGAAUGGAAUAUAAACUUACAAUGGUAUUUAUUUUUUAUUAUGUGCAGAAACUAUAGUGACAUGAGCAUUUUGUAGAACUGGGAAAUUAAACUGGUUAUUAUUCUCUUUUUGAAGAAUAUUAUUGUAAUUGCAAGGCUAUUAUUUCUAUCCAUUUUCAGUGCACCAAAUUGGUUUUGCAAGAUUUUAUUCUUCCUUCCCACUCCCAAAUCUGUCUUGUUUCCUGCUAAACUUAGGUUAAUGAAGGGCUAAAUGCAUUUUGCCUAUGUAGGAAACAGAUCUCUUUUUUUUUAAUUCUCGAAAAUAAAUAUUCUUACAAAGCAUAUCAAUUAUGCUAUUAAUCAUGCAGAGCCUUUAUAAUUUUUCAGAUGUGCUAACUAUAUUAUUUUUGAUCAUUACUCUUAUGCUAGUCUGACUAAUCUGUGAAUAACAGGCAAAAUUAUGCGUUUAUUCAUUUGUGAUAUUUGAAGGCUUCUGUUUGCUAACGCAGGAAUACAUGGUUGCUUUUUAUAAACUUUUUAUAAACUUUUAUUUAAAUUUGUCAAUGAAAGAUGUCAUAAUUAUCACUAAAAAACAGGCAGUAACAAGACUUUCCUGCAGAUGAGCCUUCUGUGUGUAUCGCUAAUCUGCAAAUCAGUGUUGAAGACUGUUAAUUUGCUCUGAAACACAUUGAGUUACUGUACAAGAGCAAAUAUGAAAAUAAACUGGCAUCCAUCUUUGAUAA